AUGGAGGAGCCGUUUGCUUUAGAUCCCCGCGAUCGCAGGAGAUGUUCCAUGACAGUUGAAGAAAGGAAUGCGUCGCACCAGCUGAAGAUGGAUGGUGCGUACUCUACUGGGUCUAUGGCGAUGAAAAUGUAUGGUCUUAUUAUUACUUCGCUGGGCUUCAUUGUUCCAUUGUUCCGGCAAAUCUAUUGUGUCAUAGCUUCCAGUAGAAGUUCGGGAGCUCUUCACCCUUGGGAUGUCAAAGACACGGUUUGCUUUGUCAGCCGCACCAUUGGCGAUACUGGUGGUGCUAUCCCUUCUUUUGUCGGGGGAAUUCGCCGUCGUCCCAAUACUUUCAAAAAAAGACACUAUGUUAUAAGUACUGGCACUAGCGGCAACCCUUUUUACAUCAAAUCCAAAAGUGGGGUUGGUCACAGGAUUUCCACCAGAAGGCUUCGUUUGCUGGCUGCCACUCGAAGACGCCGUUGUUCUCGUUGGCUCUAUGAUACCGGGGCUAGUAUUUGCAUCACCGGAGACAUUAGUAUCCUUCGAGGUUUACACAAUGCUGUUCCUAUGCAUUCGCGUGGAGUCAGUGGAACCGAAUUGGUGUCAAAUAAGUGUGGGCGCAUAUCUGGUAGAGUGAAGCUUUCUGGAAUCCGGUACUUCCCUGGUGCAAAGGUGAACUUAAUCAGCGGAGGCCUCUUGGGAUCCCUAGGAUGUGAAACCACACAGAACGCUAAAGGAUGCAAGAUCAUCAAGGACGGGCAGGUCAUCGGUGAGGGCCGCCUACUGUGGGACCGCACAUACUCCAUCGACUACCUCGACGGCAAUCUUCUCGGUGUAAUCUGCCCUGACUGCCGACAUUAG
rnacentral:rRNA from 1 species